GUCAGAGGAUGGAUGGUGAUGAAAAACAGAAGCAAAGGAGUCACUAGGUAACUUGACCUGCACCAUUUUGCAUAGUGUUUAUCCUGGACCUAAUACCUUAAUUCUUGAAGCCCAUGAUUUCUGCCUACUCCACCUAACCCCACAACAAGGCAACUUCCUGACGUAAGUUACUUAGUACAUACAUAGUAUUUAAUUGAAUUUCAUUUUGUUUUGAACCAUCUGCAGUAAUUCUUGUGAUAAAGCAGAUAUCCAGGGGAUUGGAAGUGCAGCAUUAAAAAUCAGUGUCCUAAACUGGAGAGAUAGCUUUAUAUAUUAAACUGGAUUAUGGGUGUCUCCUCCCAUUACUUCACCCACCCCAUCUGUCUCCAACAGAGCUGGAAGACUCAAGGAAUCCUCUCACAGUUCUGCCCAUCCUCGCCUGAACUUGUUCCAUAUGUCUUAUCAGUAAUCCAGUUCAUUCUUUACCCUUUAUUACAAUCUUCUAAGAACUACAAACAAGAAAAAUAAUUUAAAUCUUUCAAGAUUUGUAUACGAUAAUUUACCAAUAAACUAAACCAGCCUUACCUGGUCUUUUCCCCAGACUAGAUUCCUGUCUCACCGUGAGUAGGAUGUAGUAAUUACCCAACUCCUCCACAGCCACAGAACAGCUCUCUGCCCAGGACAGCUGAUCUGACAAUGGGUCAUAUUUGCUUAUAUUUGCACCUUAACCGCAUUUUCUCAGUCCUGGCCAAUCAGAGACAGGCUGAUCCUUGGCUGGACUUAUGAAGAGAAGGCUUUAUGUGCGCCUAUUCAAAGUAGCAAAAACCAGGAGACUUUUAAAGGCCUCUUUUCUCUUUUAACUCUGUUUCCACACCCUAUUCUAAUUGAUUUUUCUAAAGUGCACAGCCCAUCAAUAAUGCAGGAAGUAGGGUGGAGUGGAAGAGCAGAUAUGAAAUUAGCCAUAUUAUAGAUGGGGAUACAUUAAGCUGAUAGAUAUUGUAUGACAGAUAGAAGCCAAAACAAACAACAGACACAGUACCAGGAAAUCCUGGACUUGCUCUGCUGAGAAUAGGACACUGGGAAGCUGGAGUCAGAACAUAGCUAGCCCAGCUAUCUCAGGGGUAGAGCCCAAAGAUCUGAAAGGAAGAUGAUGUUACUGGGAAAGGGGGUUUUCUCCCCAAACCAGCCUCUCCUUCCUCAGGAUUAUCCCCACUCUCAGCAGAAUGACUCUUUUCAGGGGCGGUAAAGUGCUCGAAAUGGCCUGGUGGGGGAAAGAGGUGGGAAAAAUUCACAUAACUCUCAGGAAAAGCCCGGCAUUGAGCCCAAUGUAGGUUUUCUAGGCUGUAGUAGUCGGUUGGAAUCUUGCUGGCGAUGCAGAUCUAAAUGUGGCAUGUCUGGGGAAGGGUGCUUUUUGGGUGAUAUGUUCAUGGUGGCUUGAAUACACAACCACAGGGCUAUUCCUGGUUGGGUGUUUUUUUUUUUUUU